UACAGAGGGUGCGAGCGUUGUUCGGAAUUAUUGGGCGUAAAGGGCGCGUAGGCGGUGCGGUAAGUCACCUGUGAAAUCUCCUGGCUCAACUGGGAGCUUGCAGGCGAAACUGCCGUGCUGGAGUGUGGGAGAGGUGCGUGGAAUUCCUGGUGUAGCGGUGAAAUGCGUAGAUAUCGGGAGGAACACCAGUGGCGAAGGCGAUCAUCUGGGGUUGUUCUGACGCUGAGGAGCGAAAGCUAGGGGAGCAAACGGG
rnacentral:rRNA from 1 species